rnacentral:rRNA from 1 species
GAGUGGCAGACGGGAGCGGAACACAUUGGUAACAUCCCUCGAAGACGUGAACAACCCUGGGAAACUAGGGCUAAUACACGAUGGACAAGGGGGGCCGAAAGGCAUUCCCUUGUAAAGCUUCGGCGCUUCGAGAUUGGCCUAUGUCUUAUCAGCUAGUUGGUAGGGUAACGGCCUACCAAGGCUAUGACGAGUAGGGGGCGUAAGAGCGUGGCCCCCCUCACUGGGACUGAGACACUGCCCAGACACCUACGGGUGGCUGCAGUCAAGAAUAUUCCUCAAUGGACGAAAGUCUGAAGGAGCGACGCCGCGUGCCAGAUGAAGCCCUUCGGGGUGUAAAUGGCUUUUAUUGGGGACGAACAAAUGACGGUACCCAAAGAAUAAGAGGUUGCUAACUCUGUGCCAGCAGCAGCGGUAAUACAGAGACCUCGAGCGUUAUCCGGAAUCAUUGGGCGUAAAGGGUCCGUAGGCGGCCGGUUAAGUCAUGCGUCAAAUCUCUGGGCUCAACCCAGGGGCUGCGUGUGAUACUGAUCGGCUUGAGGUCGGGAGAGGCACAUGGAAUUGCCGGUGUAGCGGUAAAAUGCGUUAAUAUCGGCAAGAACACCAAAGGCGAAGGCAGUGUGCUGGAACGAUUCUGACGCUGAGGGACGAAAGCGUGGGUAGCGAAUGGGAUUAGAUACCCCAGUAGUCCACGCCCUAAACGAUGAGUGCUAGAUAUUAGGAGUAUCGACCCUCCUGGUAUCGCUGAACCAAGCUAACGCGUUAAGCACUCCGCCUGGGGAGUACGGCCGCAAGGCUAAAACUCAAAGGAAUAGACGGGGACCCGCACAAGCGGUGGAGCAUGUGGUUUAAUUCGACGGUAAGCGUAGAACCUUACCUGGGCUUGAAAGGCAGCUGCAAGCCGCUGGAAACAGUGGCCGCUUUCGAAGGUGCUGUCUAGGUGCUGCAUGGUUGUCGUCAGCUCGUGGCGUGAGCUGUUCCCUUAAGUGGGGUAACGAGCGCAACCCUUGUCGUGCG